AGAGCAUAAGCACUUGCUUGAUUUGAUCAACAGGGAAGCAUAAGGCUGGCUCAGAUAUUAGCUCUUCUACUCCCCUCAUUGCAGGUGCUGAUUUUCCCCACCUUGUGUUACUGCAUUUGUUUUGUUACUGCUGAAUUACCUUCGGUUUGCCGUUGAUUCUAUGCCUGCUAUGCUCCUGUCAAUGCAUCUUGUUCCAAAACUAAGAAUACUGAAUUUGCUAUUUCCCCAGCCACCAUGGUU